rnacentral:rRNA from 1 species
UACGGGGGGAGCAAGCGUUGUUCGGAUUUACUGGGCGUAAAGGGCGCGUAGGCGGUCAGCACAAGUCAGUUGUGAAAUCUCCGGGCUUAACCCGGAAAGGUCGACUGAUACUGUGCGACUAGAGUGCGGAAGGGGCAACUGGAAUUCUCGGUGUAGCGGUGAAAUGCGUAGAUAUCGAGAGGAACACCUGCGGCGAAGGCGGGUUGCUGGGCCGACACUGACGCUGAUGCGCGAAAGCCAGGGGAGCGAACAGG